AGGUGCUUGACCAAAUACAAGAGGCCGUCCCAUCAAUCAGUCGUCAAAGUCAGUUGAGAUGGACCAGAACAAGGCAGAAACUCAGCAACAUUUUACGCACUCAACUGCUCAGCACAGAAGACUACUGUCUGGUGAAAGGAUCGGCUGUAUCAAAGUCCUGUGAUAUGGGGGGACUUGGUCGUUCCAUGUGUGGGGAUUGCAUCAUGAAGGACAUUUUAGAUGACACUCACAAGAUGCGCAGGAGCAUUGUUAUUGAGUUGACAUGGCAACGGCACCAGUCGGACCCCCAGGAGCCUCAGUCCAGGACAACCCUUCCCCUCCACUGAUCCCUAGCUCCUCCCCUUUGACCUCCUGCUUCAAAGCUUUAUUGAACAAUACCGGUCUGCUGGAAUAUCUGAGCAUGUUGAGUUUUUACAAGCUGUUCUCAACAACUGCAAUGUCCCUGUUGAUCGAUCCACACUCCUGCCUAAGUAGUUUGUUAAGCUCCAGCGCCGGAGGUGGGUCAAGUAUUUCAGACACGCUGAGUUAUAGCAGUAGUUAUGGUAACACCAACAGUCACUGAUUGUGGACUUCACAACGAAUAGUACAUAGAAUAAAAAGUUGGAUAACUUUUUCCAUGCUUUGUUGGACUAACAGAGCAACACAUGGAAUAAUGGUAGAAAAUCUAGAAACAGUUAAACAGUUAUAGAUCGAAGCAUAAGCUAUCCACGGGGUCUACUUCUGCUUUCAAUAGUAGUAGCAUUAUGGACCAUCCUGGUUUGUCCUCUUAUGCAUCCAAAAUGUUCAAAGUGAACAUGCUUUUUACGCAGUUGCUGACAAAAAAAACUUUGUAUGAACACUCAUAGCACGAUGAAUACAUCGGUGUGGUUCAGACGCAAAUUCUUCCCAACAACAUAAACACGGUGCUUAAGGUGUACCCAUCAUGGUUUGUUACGAGCACUUCACACUCCAAGACAAAACAGCCUCGCAUUGAGCUGACACUUGAUAAAGCGUUGAAAAAUGACAGCAGUUUUGUCGUGUGGUCCAGUAUGCCUUUUGACUCCAACCCAACAUUAGGUAGAACUCAAACUCAGCCCUUAGCAAUCACAGCGAGGCCAGCAUGUCAUCUCACCUUCUUGAGCCUCAGUCAUUGGACGGCCUGUCAUGCGAACGAAUUCAAGAGUUCAAAGCAAAUAUUAUUAGCCAACAAUACAAACAUCGUUAAAGUAAAUGUCGAUGGAAAUCGGUGGUAACCUCUUCUUUAACAAAUACUACAACUCGCUCAAGAAAUUAAGUACGAAGACGUAUUGCAGCAGCCUAGCACACCACAUCUUCUCCAAUGUUGGCUACAUCAACACUUCGAACAGCAGA